rfam:Octopus bimaculoides Scaffold114047_contig_44, whole genome shotgun sequence.
GUGUCAGUGGUGUAAUGGUUAGCAUGGUUGCCUCCCAAGCAGCCGGUCCGGGUUCGAUCCCCGGCUGACGCA